rnacentral:lncRNA from 1 species
UAAUCAAACAAAAUCCCGGGGGCGUCAUCCCCAGACAGUCAUCCUGUAAGAAUGGGCCUCUAGUUUCAAGCCGAACAAAGAGGAAGAUCAUGGAGCCUUCUCACUUCCUUCAGAGAAGCGAGCUCACAGAGCUGAGUGCUGCCUCAAACUUGGAGGGACAGACAGAGGGUCAGGCAAGGCAGACUAAUCCGGAGUAAGAAUUUGCCAGAGUGACCCCAUGACAGAAGCCUCCCUUGGAGUCAGUGCCCAAGAAGGAAAGAGUGGCCUGAAACUCAGUGUGGAUUAACCAGAGUUAACAUCCCAGAGGGCCCAGACACAGGGCUCCGCACUUAGAGGCCAUGCCUCUGUCGGCCUAGACACAUCCUCACAAGGAACACUGGAGAAGUAUUCUCCUAGCCAGGGGAGGAAAAUGGACCAUUGUGAAGUAUACCAGAGCCUUCUACUCUUCCUAAGCAGGCCUGGCCUCAGGAGGAAUUAUACACACUGUACCCAUGGUUUGCCUUCGCAUGGCUUCAACCCUGAUUUGAAAAUGUUAAACUGAAAACUCCAGAAGCAAAAAGAAACAAAAGAAAAAAAUGUAUAAAGUUUUAAAUUCUGUUGAUGGCAGGAAACUGUUACAAUUGUCCAACAUCACUGUUGUGAAUCUCUAGCUGCCUCUGUCUCACAACUGACUUCUCUUGGGCUGUGUGUACAGUAGGAAAAGAUACUCUGUAAGCUUUGGCAUGGUCUGCAGGGUCCGCUGUGUGUGUGUGUGUGUGGGGGGGGAUCUUACUGCAUGCCUCUUGGAUUGGGUCAGGGAGCUCCUACUGUGCCAUUCCAGCUUUAAAACAACUUCAAAGGACUUUGAAGCUGAGUUGCUUUUCCAAAUUCACAUACUAAAGCCCUAACCACCAGGACCUAAAUAUGCAAGUGUGUUUGGAGACAGGGGCCUUCCAAAGGUAAUCGGGUUAUGGUGGGGUCAUCUGAGUGCUUCUUAAUCUAAUGGGUCUGUGGGGUUUUUUUUUUUCUCCAUUUUCAUUCAUUAAUUAAUUUAUUCACUUUACAUCCUGAUUGCAGACCGCCUCCCUCCUCGCCUCCCAGUCCAUCCCUCAGCAGCCCCUCUCCUCACCGACCCCUCCCCUUCUCCUCAGAGAAGAGGAAGCCCCCCAUGGGUACCAGCCAGCCCUGACACAUCAAGUCUCAGCAGGACUAGGCACAUCCUCUCCCACUGAGGCCUGGCAAGACAGUGAGAGCAGCACAGAAGUGCCUGUACCCACGCACGCGGGGUAGUGGAGACUCUAAGCAUCUGUAAGCCAAGGAGACAGUCCUCGGGAGUAAUGGAUCUGGGGAGAGCGAAUCUCAAAGUUUUAACCUGUAGACGUGUAAGGCAACAUAUUUCUGCCCUUUAUACCCCGAGCCUGUGCCACUUGGUUAUGACAGCUCCUGCGAAUCAACGCAGACGCAAUAAGGGAAAUUAAUUGUGAUCAUAACCGCCUCUCACUACUCUACUAUCCUUUCAGUCCAUUUCCUUUAGAGAAUUCCAAAGACCACAAAACAUGGCCAUGUGCUCUGGGAAGAAGUCUUCUGGCAACUCCGUCUUCACAAAGGCACUUUUAGUAAUGAGCCUUGGCACCGGAGUAAGCCGCAUCCUGCCCCAGGGUGGGUCCCGCCAUUGUCCUCUGUGGGCAGCCACAGGGAGCCAAAGAUGUCAUACUGUCCGAGGGUGUGCCACCUGGGAAACCACUUUAAAGACAACAGUGGUGCUGGCUCCCAGGCCCGCCCUUCUCAUCCAGUCUCAGUGUUAACAUCUUUAAGAAAAGUCCCCCUUCUUUCAUGUCCCAUGAAGCAGGAGGCAAGUGAGAUUCCACCCGGCAAAGGCAUUGGGUAAUAGCGACUCCAUAGCAAUCAGCUUAGACAGCACGGCUCACACCAGCUCUGGCUCAGUGAUGACAUUAGGGGGUGAGAAUAUUUGUCCCUUAAAGACUCCAAUUUCAGAACUUCAAAUCGCUCACGGGCUUUUAUCAUUUGUCAUUUAUGUGCGUUAAUCAAAUUAUUCAAAUGUUUUCAUUUCUUCCUAUAAACACAUUCAUUUAGAAGACACUUAGUAUCCUUCCCCCAGCUAAUUGUUUAAUGAAAAAGAAAGCAAAAAGGGGUCUUUCAUUUCUGUUUUCUCGUCUCUCUUUCAACACUGAGGUCGUGUUUCUCACCUGUGCUCCGACAUGUGCUAAGUUUACAUUUCUAUAAAUUUAUACGUGGAGGGUAUUUCAUUUUGGUCCAGUGUUUCCCCUCCUGGGAAGAGAAAGUGGUAUUUAUACUCUCUCCUAAUAAAUGCAAGACUUUGUUCU